rnacentral:lncRNA from 1 species
UGAAGACCCCAGAAGCCAUGAGUUGAGAUGAUGGAGCUACAAAAUAGAACCUGGAAGAAUCCAUACUUAGCUGCUGGGAAGUGAGCUGCACUGGAGAGUAUCCAGACUUGCAGAGGGUUUGAGUGGACCAGGAGGAGUUUUCAGAGGAGUCUGUGAUAGGCGCUUUGUGACUCCAGGACACGUUGAGUAUACGUGAUUGAUGAAACCAAUGGUACAUCUGGAACACUGGCUGAAAUGAAGAAUGGAAAAUGUUAGCUUUCCAGGCCUCCUCAGGCCAGGAAGGCAUACUGGAGAGAUACGGCAGCAGAGUCACACAAGCAAGGCAGCUGGAUUUGUGACAAUGAGAGAAGCGCGGGGUCAAAGAACAUAGAGUGUUUUGAGAACAGUGUCUCCAGAUGAGAGGGAAGAGAACUGGUAAGGGAUGAGAAUGGUGAUGUCACAGGGCCACAUUAGGGGCUAAAGAGCUUCAUAUUGCUCUAGAAUGCAAUGGAAGCCACUGAAGAACUUUGAGAGGGGGUGGAGAGGUGUGGCAUGUUUCAGAUUUGUUGGAAAGAUCCUGCUUUUACAUUUUGCAUAUGCAGUACCACUUCUACCUUCCAUGCCCCACCUCCUCAGUUCUAUUUCGCAUUAUUAUCUAAAUAGAAACCUUCUGGAGAAGACAGAAAAGGCAUUUGCCCUGAAUCUGUUUCUUCGGAUAUAAUAUCC